rnacentral:tRNA from 1 species
GAAAUAUAUUUAUAUAAGCUUCUAACUUUUUAUCAAAUGAUUAAAAUCAUUUAUAUUUCU